GCCGCGGCCGCCACGUUUACCAGCCGGAGCUUCAAAUCAUGUCCCUUUGUAGUGAAAAAGAGGACGUAGCCUGGUGUGAAGCUACAUUUAUUAAGGACGGAUGACAGCCGGGGAUCCGAACACGUUCGAUAUCAUCCAAGAGAAUGUGGCAGAUGAAGGGGAGAGUCCAAGAAAGAGGCCAAGGGUGAAGACAUUUAGCCACCCCCUGAAGUACAUGGCAACAUCCAACCCUCUUGCUAUAUAGGCUGCAGGAGUGUGCUCCCCAUUGCAGUGCACCAGCUCCAUGUACUGAUUUUGGGUGUGAACUUGAUGGGGUUGGAGGAAACUCGACUCGGCCAUCAAUAUAACAUGAGAAGUGAAAUUGCUGCACAAAACAGUCUUUCGUCUGCACCGGGAGGCAAGGCAGCUCAAAGCCCAGGCUGUUGCAACUCCUGGGCAGUUUUUGCCCAGAGCCAGCAAUUUUUUAGAUCCAAUAGGGGUGGAUUUUUUCUAAGGUCAGGUUCAACAUGCUGCAAGAUGCCAAGAUCUAAGCCUAGUAGGAUAUAUGGGUUACAAGAGAGGAGGUUUGCUCUGGCCUUAUACUAUCAAAGUCCAAAUGCUAAUAGAUUUCUAAGCACAGUAUUUCACUUUCCUUCAAUUUCAACACUUCACUCAUGACUCAGGGGUAUUUCAGUAAAUGUUGGCUGGAGCAAACAGACUCUGACAGCCCUGCAGCAAAGAGCACAGGCUUUGUCAAAAGAAGAGAUACUUCGUGGGAUUUGCCAUUAUUUAGUAUUACUCUUGUUACGCCAAGAAAUUUUUUCCAUAUACUUUGUCAAAUAUUGCAAGUAAUGCACCAUUGGUGAUCUUGCCUUUUAUAAAUCAGAUCUUGUUCAAAUAACAACCUUUGGGUGUCUGCCACUUUCCAGUUGUAAUGCAAGGAAUUAUUUAUCUCCCCUGCCAGAUAUCACAUGUAAUGCACCAUUGUUGGUUUUGCCUGUUAUAAAUCAGAUCUUGUUCAGUUAACAAGCUUUAGGUGUCUGCCACUUUCCAGUUGUAAUGCAAGGAAUCCCCUGCCAGAUAUCGCAUGUAAUGCACCAUUGUUGGUUUUGCCUGUUAUAAAUCAGAUCUUG